GUUGACAUGGACCCAAUGUUUACCAUCAGUAUCUCGCCCUUUGUCAGCUUUGAGACCUUCCCCUGCUUCUCAGUUCCCUUUGUCCUCACACCCAGGAGCCUCCGGAGCAGAAAGAAGUUCACCUCAAGCUCAAUAUAGACAUCAGGAAGAGCCCCGACUUGGCCAAGAACCUGCCCCACCAGCCUAUCAGCUCGUGUAAGUGUGGGAUCCAUUGUAGUGCCUACUCCAAUGAGACCACCAGGAACAGC
rnacentral:misc_RNA from 1 species